AGUGAACGCUGGCGGUAGGCCUAACACAUGCAAGUCGAACGGCAGCACAGGAGAGCUUGCUCUCUAGGUGGCGAGUGGCGGACGGGUGAGGAAUACAUCGGAAUCUGCCCAGUCGUGGGGGAUAACGUAGGGAAACUUACGCUAAUACCGCAUACGACCUUCGGGUGAAAGAGGGGGAUCGCAAGACCUCUCGCGAUUGGAUGAGCCGAUGUCGGAUUAGCUAGUUAGCGGGGUAAUGGCCCACCAAGGCGACGAUCCGUAGCUGGUCUGAGAGGAUGAUCAGCCACACUGGAACUGAGACACGGUCCAGACUCCUACGGGAGGCAGCAGUGGGGAAUGUUGGGCAAUGGGCGCAAGCCUGAUCCAGCCAUACCGCGUGGGUGAAGAAGGCCUUCGGGUUGUAAAGCCCUUUUGUUGGGAAAGAAAUCUUUCAGGCUAAUACCCUGGGAGGAUGACGGUACCCAAAGAAUAAGCACCGGCUAACUUCGUG
rnacentral:rRNA from 1 species